rnacentral:rRNA from 1 species
AUUGAACGCUAGCGGCAUGCUUUACACAUGCAAGUCGAACGGAGUCGCGGACGGGUGAGUUAUAUAUCGGAACGUGCCUAGUAGAGGGGGAUAACUACUCGAAACAGUGGCUACUAACGACUUCUUGUGGCGCGGCCGAUGUCGGAUUAGCUAGUUGGGGGGGUAAAUGCUCACCAAGGCAACGAUCCGUACCUGGUUUGAGAGGACGACCAGCCACACUGGAACUGAGACACGGCCCAGACUCCUACGGGAGGCAGCAGUGGGGAAUUUUGGACAAUGGGAGAAACCCUGAUCCAGCCAGCCCGCGUGUGUGAUGAAGGCCUUCGGGUUGUAAAGUACUUUUGGCUGGGAGGCGGUAUCUGCAGAAUAAGCACCGGCUAACUACGUGCCAGCAGCCGCGGUAAUUC